CAAUUAUGGUUCCUUUGAUCGCUCCAUCUGUUACUUGGAUAACUGUGGUAAUUCUAGACCUAAUACACGCCGACGAGCGCUAGGGGACUGCUGCUCCGCUUUUGCACCCAUUUGCAAAAAAAAAUUUCUUGCCCAUCUUCUGUGGGUUAUUGCAUUUUUAAGAUGUAGACUUAUUGUAUCACACUAGCCAUGCACAGGUAGAUUGUCUGGCAUGUUGUUUUGGUGUUUG